GUGCUCACUUCAGCAGCAUAUAUACUAAAAUUGAAACAAUACAGAAAAGAUUAGCAUGGCUGCUGCACAAGAAUGAUAUGCAAAUUCACAAAUUGUUCCACAGUUUU